rnacentral:rRNA from 1 species
AGUGAACGCUGGCGGUAGGCCUAACACAUGCAAGUCGAACGGCAGCACAGUAAGAGCUUGCUCUUCCGGGUGGCGAGUGGCGGACGGGUGAGGAAUACAUCGGAAUCUACUUUUUCGUGGGGGAUAACGUAGGGAAACUUACGCUAAUACCGCAUACGCCCUACGGGUGAAAGCAGGGGAUAUUCGGACCUUGCGCGGUUGAAUGAGCCGAUGUCGGAUUAGCUAGUUGGGGGGGUAAAGGCCCACCAAGGCGACGAUCCGUAGCGGGGCUGAGAGGAUGAUCAGCCACACUGGAACUGAGACACGGUCCAGACUCCUACGGGAGGCAGCAGUGGGGAAUAUUGGACAAUGGGCGCAAGCCUGAUCCAGCCAUACCGCGUGGGUGAAGAAGGCCUUCGGGUUGUAAAGCCCUUUUGUUGGGAAAGAAAAGCAGCAGGUUAAUACCCCGCUGUUCUGACGGUACCCAAAGAAUAAGCACCGGCUAACUUCGUG